CAGAGGUGGCAAGCGUUGUUCGGAAUUACUGGGCGUAAAGGGCGCGUAGGCGGCCUUCUAAGUCAGACGUGAAAUCCCCAGGCUUAACUUGGGAACUGCGUCUGAUACUGGAGGGCUCGAGUGCGGGAGAGGGAUGUGGAAUUCCAGGUGUAGCGGUGAAAUGCGUAGAUAUCUGGAGGAACACCGGUGGCGAAGGCGGCAUCCUGGACCGACACUGACGCUGAGGCGCGAAGGCUAGGGGAGCAAACGGGAUUAGAUACCCCGGUAGUCCUAGCCCUAAACGAUGAGUGCUUGGUGUGGCGGGUAUCGAUCCCUGCCGUGCCGAAGCUAACGCAUUAAGCACUCCGCCUGGGGAGUACGGUCGCAAGGCUG
rnacentral:rRNA from 1 species